UUAGGGCUGGUUCGGUAUGGGAUACCGAACCAAAAAUGGCAUAUCAAAUCCCGAACCGAAAAUUUUCGGGACGUAAAUCUCAUGACCGAUCCCGAACCGAAAUUUCGGGAUUCCCAAAUUUCGGGAUUCCCGAAAUAUUUUCGGUAUUUCGGAAUUUCCCGAAACCGAACAUCAUCAGAAUCCAAAUCGUCUUAGAUUAAUAUUGAAAUCAUCCGAACCUGCAUUAAAAAUCCAAAUUGAAAUCAGAGACAUAGUGAUAGUGAAUCAGUGAAAGAUUUUGUUAGAACCAGAAACUUGAAAAGAGCGUAUAGUAACACAAGGUUCGAAAGCUUACAUAAAACCAGGGAGAAUUCUUAUUAGAUGAAAGCAACAAUCAUGGCUAUUAAAUAGCCUUACAUUCGAACAUAAAGGAAAUCAACUGCCCACGAUUUUAAAGGUCCUAUAAUCGUGGUAAAGACUACGUCAAACAAGGAAAUGCAGCUUGUCCCUCAAGUAUAGGGAUUAUUGGACUCUUACGUGAUUAACAAUCCUAAAAACUAGGAAACCCUAGCAGUAAACCCUAUCAGUUAACGACUAGAAAUCCUAACAACUUUAUCAUCCUCCCUUAAACUGAAUAUUACAGAUAUUCAGUUUACUCCUGGAAGCUUGCAAACUCCCAUCAAUUCUCGUAUCUUUAAAAACACAUCGACCUUGAGUGGUUUAGUUAGAACAUCUGCGACUUGUUCCUGAGAUGAACAUUGCACCAGCUCUAAAACUCCACCCUUAACCAAAUCACGAAGGAAAUGAAACCUUACAUCAAUAUGCUUGCUUCGACCAUGCAUCACCGGAUUCCUUGAAAGUUUGAUAGUCGAAACAUUAUCACAAUGCACCAAGGUUGGGCUAUAUUGCUUCUGAUUAAGACUCUUCAUGAUCCUUUUUAACCAAACAACUUGGCAUGCACUCGAUGCUGCUGCUAUGAAUUCCGCUUCAGUAGUGGAUAAGGUAACAACAGGCUGCUUCUUUGAGGACCAAGAAACAGCACCUGAACUCAUCAUAAAUACAUAACCGGAGGUGCUCUUCCUAUCAUCUUGAUCACCCGCAUAGUCACUAUCUGUGUACCCAAUAAGUUCCUUAGUUCCUCCAUUCCUGUAGAAUAUCCCCAAGUCAGUAGUCCCUUUAACGUACCUUAGAACUCUUUUUACUGCCUGUAAGUGAAUCUCAGUUGGUCGCUCCAUGUAUCGACUGAUCAAACUUCCAAUAAACAUUAAAUCAGGACGCGUGGCUGUUAGAUACAUGAGACUUCCCACCAUCUGCUUGUAAGCCGUGCUAUCAACUUCUACUCCUCCUUCGUCCUUUGUGAGUUUGAAACCCGGAACCACAAGAUUUGUACUGGGUUGCUUUGAUCCAUGUUGAAUCUCUUCAGGAUUUCUUGGGCAUACUUCCUUUGACCAAUGAAGAUCCUAUCAGAACCUUGUAUCACUUCAAUCCCAAGGAAAUAUCUCAUUUUCCCUAGGUCAGACAUGUCAAACUCAAGCAUCAUAGACUUCUUGAAUUGUUCAAACAUCAUUUCAUCAUUUCCAGUGAAAAGAAGGUCAUCGACAUAAAGACACACUAUCAAAAUCUUACCUCCUUCCUUUGUUUUGAUGAACAAAGUGUACUCAUAAGGACUUUUGGUGAAUCCUUCCUUAAUAAAAUAUGACUCUAUACGACUAUACCAGGCUCGGGGAGCCUGCUUAAGUCCAUAUAAAGCUUUUUUAGUCGAUACACCCUUGACUCCUGCCCCUUCUGUUCAUAUCCAGGUGGCUGAUCAACAAACACUUCUUCAUCUAUCUCCCCAUGCAAAAAUACGGACUUGACAUCAAGCUGAUAGAUUUCCCAGUUCUUCUGCGCAGCAAGAGAAAUUACCAUUCUAAUGGUGUCUAGACGAGCCACCGGUGCAAACACCUCUGCAUAAUCGAUCCCAUAUUUUUUACAGUAACCUUUAGCAACUAGUCGUGCCUUAUACUUAUUCACUUCCCCGUUCUCCUUGAGCUUUGUCUUAAACACCCACUUUACUCCAAUAGUUUUUCCUCCUGGUGGCAGCUCCAUUAACUCUUACGUGUUGUUCUUUUCAAUAACUUGUAUCUCCUGAUCCAUAGCUUGUCUCCAUUUCUCUGAUUUCACUGCAUCUUCGAAGGUUGUGGGGUCUUGAUCGAUGAAUAAGGCUAAGUGAGCCAUGUCAUCAUUCUCUUCAUCAGAUAGGCCCUGACCUGUUUCAUAGUCCCUCAUCCAAAUUGGUGGUCUUCGAGUUCGUCCCAAAUGAGGUGAGAGUAUGUCACUUUGGCUGUCUUCUUCAAUUAGCAUGCCACCAUGAUCAGACUCGGUCUCAGUUUCUUCCGCUGCUUCAUUACUUCCAGACUCGGGAGUGAUAUUGAUAUUUUCCUCAUCAAUGUCCCAUUCAAGAUCGGCCACUAUGACUUCCUUGUGACCGUCACCCCAACUCCAUUGUUGAUCCUCUUGAAACACAACAUCUCGGCUAACUAUUAUUUUCUGUAAAACAGGAUCAAACAAUCGAUAGGCUUUAGAUUCUUCACUUACCCCAAGAAAUAUGCAUUUACAGCUCCUGGCAUCGAGUUUCACCCUUUUGCUGUCAAGUACAUGAGCAUGAGCAAUGCAACCAAAGAUUCUGAAAUGGUCCACAGAUGGUUUUCGUCCAUUCCAUGCCUCCUCAGGUGUCUUGCUCUUCACGGCAAGAGUAGGACAUCGAUUUAACACAUGCACUGCCCAAUUUACUGCUUCAGGCCAAAAGGUUUUGGGAAUUUGUUUGGCCAACAGCAUGCUUCGCACCAUGUUCAUGAUGGUGCAAUUCUUCCUUUCUGCCACACCGUUCUGUUGAGAAGUGUAGGCUGCAGUUAAUUGCCUAUGAAUCCCAUUCUCAUGACAGAAAUUUGCAAACUCAUGUGAGGUAAACUCUCCACCUCGAUCCGUCCUUAGACUUUGUAUGAAAGCUCCAGUUUCUUUCUCUACCCGUGCUUUGUAGGAUUUGAACGUACUAAAUGCUUCUGAUUUCUCCACCAAGAAGUACACCCAUGUUUUCCUGCUGAAAUCAUCUAUAAAGGUAAUAAGAUACCUUUUAUUGCUGUUUGAGAUGGGAUUGAUUGGUCCGCAUAUGUCGGCAUGCACUAGUUGAAGGGUCUUAGAGGCUCUCCACAGACGUUCUUGAGGAAAUGGGUCACGCUGUUGCCUGCCUACCAAGCAAUCUUCACACACACUUUGAGAUGCGACAAACUGAGGCAAACCCUCCACCAUCUGCUUCUGUUGAAGUACUUUAAGCCCAUUCCAACUAAGAUGCCCAUAGCGACAAUGCCAAAGUUGUGCUUGAUCAGUGGUUUGAGAGGAGAGACAUUUCUGUUCCUUUGGUGGGCAUCGAGCCGACACUGCAAACAUUCUAUUAGAACUCAUCUUGGUCUCCAUGAUUAGACCUCUCUCGUAAUGAAAAAUCUUGCACUUUCCAUGUUGGAUGAGCACCGUGAGCCCCUUCUCUUGAAACUGACCAAUACUUAACAAAUUAUUCUUCAAAUCUGGCACGUAGAACACGCCCGUGAUUACAUGUAUAAUGCCAUGCACCUCUAUUCGUACAUUUCCCUUGCCUUGCACAGUUAAACUUGAAUUAUUUCCAAGCUUCACAGAUUCCUUGAAACUGCUGUCAAACUCACUAAACAGGUCUUUCUUACCACACAUAUGAUUGCUGCACCCCGAGUCGAGAAACCAAGCGUGCUCUCUUGGUGCUUCACUGAAUUCCACAAGUGCCAUCAACAUCAUCUCUUCCUUUGUCUCUGCAUAGUGUGCCUUCUUUUCCUUAGAUUUCUUAGGGCACUCCCACUGAAAAUGCCCUAAGUCAUGGCAGUUGUAACAUUCUAGGGUUGACUUAUCGAACCCUUGCCUUCCCCGUCUUCUUCCUCUUCCUCGAUAAGUCCCUCGACCUCGUCCUCCUUGCUGGACUCCAUGUGUAACUUGGAGUGCCUGUUCAUCCUCCACAUGUCGACUUAUCCUUUGCUCGUGCACCAACAGACUACUCUGAAGUUCAUCGAUAGAUAUAACAUCUAGGUCAUUUGAUUCUUCAAUCGAACAAACAACGUAGUCAAAUUUCGAAGUCAUGGACCUCAAAAUUUUCUCGAUAAUCACCACAUCAUCCAUCUUCUCUCCGUGAGUUCUCAUCUUGUUGGCUAUAACCAGUGUUCUCCCAAAAUAGGCAUUGAUUGUUUCUCCACUCUUCAUGUGCAGCACUUCGAACUCCUUGCGAAGAGCCUGCAACUGAGCACGUUUUACACGUGCAGUUCCUUGAUAUUUCUGUUUCAAGGAGUCCCAUAUGUCCUUGGCAUUGUCCUUCUUCAGAAUGGUCUCCAAUAUUGACCGAUCUAUGGCUUAGAACAAAUAGUUCUUGGCCUUCAAGUAUUUCAACUUCAGUUCAUCCAACGUCUUCUUCUGUGUUUCACUGGAAUCUGACCCUCCUGCUGCAGCAGUGAUCCCAAUCUCCACCAAGUUCCAAUAUUCUUUGGAACGAAGAAAGUUCUCCAUAAGCAUACUCCAAUGGUCGUAGUGUCCAUCGAACCUCGGAAUGGCUGGUUGCACAAAACUGUUCUCAGACGCCAUGUUGUUGUUUAUUCACUCACGCACCUAGGUUGCAAGCUUUCGAUCAGGCCCCGUAGUGGAGCUCUGAUACCAGAUGUUAGAACCAGAAACUUGAAAAGAGCGUAUAGUAACACAAGGUUCGAAAGCUUACAUAAAACCAGGGAGAAUUCUUAUUAGAUGAAAGCAACAAUCAUGGCUAUUAAAUAGCCUUACAUUCGAACAUAAAGGAAAUCAACUGCCCACAAUUUUACAGGUCCUAUAAUCGUGGUAAAGACUACGUCAAACAAGGAAAUGCAGCUUGUCCCUCAAGUAUAGGGAUUAUUGUACUCUUACGUGAUUAACAAUCCUAAAAACUAGGAAACCCUAGCAGUAAACCCUAUCAGUUAACGGCUAGAAAUCCUAACAACUUUAUCAGAUUUAUGGUCGAGAAAGAAGCAGAGUGAAGAGAGGGACCUCCUCCUAACCCGAGCCCCCAAUUCGAAACCCUAAGCCCCAAUUCAAAACCCUAACCUCAAUUCGAAAUCCCACACACACAGAGAAUCACUGGAGAGAACCGGAGGUGGGGAUGAAGCCAUGAGGUGUGGUGGUGGCCGGAGUGGAGAUAGUUCGUCGGAGUCAGAUUGCUAGACGGUGGGUGGCUGCUAAGCUUCAAAUCUGAGAAAGAGAGGGAGAGUCUGAGACUGAGUGAAGACAGAUAAGAGGCGAAAUGAAAUGAGAGAGAGUGAGUAGGGAUGCUUGGCUUGGUUUUGGAUUGGGUGGAAGGAAAGGUUAGGUGGUUUCUGGGUUGUAGAGAGAGAUAGAGAGAGAAUACGAGAGAGAUGAGACAGAAAAAAAUGAGAGGGAUAAAGGAUUAGGUAGGUUAUGAGUUGUAGAGAGAGACGAGACAGAAAAUAAGAGAGAGAUGAAGGGUUAGGUUAUGGGUUGUAGAGAGAGGGAGUCUGGGAGAUAAUCAAGAAGAGAGAUGACUGAUGAGACAGAAAAUAGGGAAGAGAGAGAGACG
rnacentral:lncRNA from 1 species